UGAGAAGACUCAGAAGAAACACUGGAUGA
rnacentral:piRNA from 1 species